GCCCGGUGCAGUGGCGCGUGCCUAUAGUCCCAGCUACUCGAGAGGCUGAGGCUGGAGGAUCGCUUGAGCCUAGGAGUUCUGGGCUGUAGUGUGCUAUGCUGAUCAGGUGUCCACACUAAGUUCGGCAUCAAUAGGGUGACCUCCCAGGAGCAGGGGACCACCAGGUUGCCUAAGGAGGGGUGAACUGGCCCAGGUCGGAAACGGAGCAGGUCAAAACUCCCGUGCUGAUCAGUAGUGGGAUCCCGCCUGUGAAUAGCCACUGCACUCCAGCCUGGGCAACAUAGAGAGACCCAGGUUCA
rnacentral:SRP_RNA from 1 species